UGUAAGUUUUUUGGUUGCGAGACAAACCCUGUAUUUACCAAACGUUUUGGAUAUAGUCCCUGCCGUUCAAUUCCGUGAAAAAAACGAUGAGCUGGCUAACAUAACAAUAUGUGGCACUUCAUGAGUUGGAACUAGUUGAUGACUGAGGUUAGUUGGCUCAGAAACCAAGAGAGAAUCCACUCUCUAACUCUCAAAUGAGAAACUCAAGUUUUAUAUAUUUCAAAAUUGUGAUGAUACAUGAAGGAAAUGGCCUUAUUUAUAGUAAUCCUAGAGGCCUUAGAUGCAACUGUAGAAUGUUGAAAAUUAAUGUGAAUGCAAGAAAUAAAAUGUCAACAUAAGUGGCUAGGUGGUUGUGUUUCAACCAUGGUGGCUUCAAUGAGGUAAGGGAUGAUGUAAGUGACCUUGAGCCUAUGAAUACUAGGGGUGGUGCAAUUAAUAGGUUCUAUGAAUUUCUUGAUCUGCAUCAUUCUCCCCCGGUUGAGUAGAACUCGUCCUCGAGUUUAUAUCUAGUUCAUCAUCCAGAUAUGGUGAAAGGUCGGCAACAUUGAAGGUUGCUGAGACACCAUAGGUUCCUGGCAAUUCUACCUUGUAAGCAUUGUCGUUGAUUUUUUGAACUAUUUUGAAGGGACCAUCAGCUCUUGGUGACAACUUGGCAUUUGGUUGUUUAGGAAAUCGUUCUUUGCGCAAAUGUAUCCAUACCAAAUCUCCAACUUUAAAGAUUUGUUGUCUUCUGUGCUUGUCACGAUUAGUUUUGUAUCUUGAAUUUUGCUUAAUUAUCCGUUGUCGAACCUGUUCAUGCAGUUUCUUGAUCUCUUUUGCUCUGCUUUCUGCAUCUGCACUAAACUGAUGUUUAUCUGAUGAUGGAGUCAAGUCUAACGGACUGUGUGGUCGAGUUCCGUAUGCUACUUCAAAAGGACAUUUUCCAGUGGCUUGAUUAGUUGAAUUAUUGUAUGCAAAUUCAACUUGUGCUAAUAUGAGAUCCCACUGUUUUAGAUUUUUACCGACAAAGCUCCGAAGUAGGUUUCCCAAAAUCCUGUUAACAGCUUCAGUUUGUCCAUCUGUUUGGGGGUGACUAGCACUACUAAACUAAAGUUUGGUACCCAUCUUCUUCCAUAAGGUUCUCCAAAAAUGACUUAAGAAUUUAACAUCCCUAUCAGAAGUGAUGGUUUUUGGAAUUCCAUGAAGACGAACAAUUUCCUUGAAGUAUAAGUCAGCAACUUGAACGGCAUCAUUAGUCUUCUGGCAUGGGAUGAAAUGAGCCAUCUUUGAAAAUCUGUCCACAACUACCAUCACAGAAUCUUUCUGGCGUUGUGUCUGAGGCAAUCCAAGUACAAAGUCCAUGCUAACAUCUUCCCAAGGUGCUUCUGGAACAGGGAGUGGCAUGUAAAAACCAGUGUUUUGGCUUUUGGCCUUGGCCAAAUGGCAGACUCGACAUCUUUGAAUAUGUUUGUAGACAUCUCUUUCAAGUCUUGGCCAAUAGAAAUUUUCUUUCACUAAAGCAACAGUUUUAUCUCGUCCAAAAUGACCUGCUAAUCCUCCAUCAUGGGCUUCCCAAAUAAUGGCUUCACGUAGAGAGCACAGAGGAAUACAUAAGGUUUUUCCUUUGAACAAAAAUCCCUCAUGUCUGUAGUAGUCCUGAGAGGAUUGUGAAUCAGUGGCAUUCCAAAACUUUUGAAAAUCUGGAUCAUCUUUGUAUAACUCUUUGACUGUCUCAAAUCCAAUGACCUUCAUUUGCAUAGUGGCAAGUAGGGUAUGACGCCUGCUAAGAGCAUCUGCAACAACAUUUUGAACUCCUGCCUUAUGUUUUAGUAAAAACGGAUAAGCUUGUAAAAACUCACUCCAGGCGGCAUGUCUGCGAUUGAUCUUUUGUUGAGAAUUCAAAUGCUUGAGGGCUUCAUGAUCAGAAUAAAGAAUAAAUUCUUUAUUCAACAAGUAAUGACUCCAAUGUUGCAAGGCUCGGACAAUGGCAUAAAAUUCUUUAUCAUAUGUUGAGUAUCUAAGUUUACCAUUGUUGAGCUUUUCACUAAAGAAGGCUAUAGGAUGACCUUCUUGACAUAGAACCGCACCAAUUCCUGAAUUGGAAGCGUCACAACUUACUUCGAACACCUGGUCAAAGUUGGGAAGGGCUAGCACUGGUGUUUCGGUCAAAAGUUGUUUGAGGUGGUCAAAACUCUUUUAUGCUUGCUCGGUCCAUUGGAACUUAUCCCCUUUUAUGCAAUCUGUAAGUGGGGCAGCAACAGAGCUAAAGUUCUUGAUGAACCUUCUAUAAAAUGAAGCUAAUCCAUGGAAACUUCUCACAUCAUGAAUUGACUUUGGAAUAGGCCAACUAUUGAUAGCCUCAACCUUGCUGGGGUCAACUCGAAUACCUUCAGCAGUGAUUAUGUAACCCAGAAAAGUAACCUCAUUGGUUAAGAAAGAACAUUUCUUCAAAUUUGCAUAGAGUUUUUGUUCGCGGAGAGUUUGUAGCACUUGUCGAAGCUGCUCUAAGUGUUCCUCUUUGUGUUUGCUGUAGAUCAAGAUAUCGUCAAAGUAUACAACUAUAAAUUUGUCAAUGAAUGGUCGAAGUAUUUGAUUCAUUAGACGCAUGAAGGUACUUGGAGCAUUAGAUAACCCAAAGGGCAUCACUGUCCAUUCAUAUAAGCCAUCUCUUGUUUUGAAUGCAGUCUUCCAUUCAUCUCCUGGCCUAAUCCGGAUUUGAUGGUAUCCACUUCGAAGAUCAAUCUUUGAAAAGAUGGUGGCACCAUGCAACUGAUCUAAUAAAUCAUCAAGUCUAGGUAUCAAAAAUCGAUACUUGAUGGUAAUCUUGUUGACAGCUCGACUAUCAACACACAUUCUCCAGCUUCCAUCCUUUUUGGGUACUAAAAUUGCAGGAACAGCACAAGGGCUAACACUUUCCUGUAUUAGUCCUUUCUUCAGCAAUUCUUCAACUUGACGUGUGAUUUCAGCAUGCUCUUGUGGACUCAUUCUAUAAGCUGGUCUAUUAGGAAUGACAACUCCAGGAAUAAAGUCAAUAGCAUGUUGAAUGUCUCGCAUCGGCGGCAAUCCUUGUGGAACGUCUUCUGGUACUACAUCUGGGAAUUCACUGAGCAUUUGUUCAAUUUCUACUGGAAGGACAGCUUCUGCAUUUUCUUCGAACAUUAGAAUAAAGCUCAUGGUUUGGGCUUCGUCCACAGCUUCUUUGAACUGAGUCUUAGUGAUUAAAGACACUAAUGGCUUGGACUCAUUUUUGUUUUUAUCAAGUCCACUCGGUGGUAAUGGAGUUAACUUGAUUUUUACUCUAUCUUUGACAAAGGAGUAGGUGUUGGCAUAACAAUCAUGAUGGGCACGACGAUCGUAUUGCCAUGGUCUUCCAAGGAGAAGAUGACAUGCAUCCAUUGGGACGACAUCACACCAAACUUGAUCUUGAUACUUCUGACCAAUGGAAAAACUCACAAGGCAACGCUUCGUAACCUUCACUUCACUACCUUUGUUGAGCCAUUGUAGUUUGUAAGGAUGAGGAUGACUUUGUGUUGGCAUCUCUAACUUCUCUACCAUGUAGUUCGACACCACAUUUUCACAACUACCACUAUCUAUUAUAACAUCACAAACUUUUCCAGCAGUGGUGCAACGAGUAUGGAAAAUAUUUUUCCUCAACCAAUGCUCUUCUUGAGCUGACAUCGUGUGUAGGCUUCGUCUGAUCACCAGAGACUCGCCAUGAUCAGCAACAAUGAGCUCUUCAUCAUAAAUUGGCUCUAAAACUUCUUCUUUUUCUGGUUCAUCUCGGUUUGUUUCCUCAUCAACAUCUUCAUAAGCUUCUCCUUUGAUGAUGGUGAUGGUUCUUCGUGUUGGACAAUUUGAAGCUAUAUGUCCAAAACCUUGACAUUUGAAACACUUGGUAGCUUUGGGUUUAUUUUCUGUAGUGGGUUUAGGAGAAGGUUUUGUAGAAGUACUAGGCUGAUCGUUGUCUGUUUUGCGGGGAUAAGAAGAAUUCUCAGUGGAGGAAAAAUUCCUAUAAGAAUGCUUCUUGGGUAAAUGUUUCUCCACUCGCAUGGCCAAACGAACAACAUCGUCUAAUGACCAAUAUUGUUGGAGCUGAACUGGAUGAGCAACGUCAGUGUUUAAUCCACCAAGGUAACGAGCUAUUGUCUGCUCCUCCCUUUCAUGAAUGUCGCACUUCAUCAUUAACUUCUCAAAAUCUCUAGUGUAUUCUUCUACAGACAAGUUUUUCUGACGAAGGUUCUGUAGUUGAAUAAAACUAUCUUGAUAAUAGUAAGAAGGCAAGAACUUUUUGCUUAGUUCUCGACGCAUUUUCUCCCAAGUCUUGAUCUUGCUUUUUCCUUCACGGGCUCGCUUCGUUUUUAGAUUUUCCCACCAAAUGGAAGCAUGCUUCUUUAAUUUUACAGCAAUGAUCUUGACUUUCUUUUCCUCAAGUAUCUCUUUAUACUCGAAGACUCGUUCAACAGUUUGGAGCCAAUCAACGAACUCAUCUGGAUGUAGCUUUCCUUCAAAAUCAGGAAUAUCUACCUUGAUGUCGUUGUCUCUAAAUGAUUGUCUUUGUGGACGACGACUUCUUAAUGAUGAUGAUUCGCUACUUGAUUCAUCAACGUCUGAUUGCAUGUGUUGGGCUUCCAAUUGUGCUUGUUGUGCAUUUACAGUUUCUUGUAACUGUUGGAUUUGUCUUCUCAUUUCUUCCAUUUGAAUAUCCCUAAGUGUUUGGUCGUUUUUUCUUGGAGGCAUUUUUUUUUUUAAAGGGUGAAAUGAGUAUAAGUACUAUAAAAUAGAAUAAUUCUUUUCUGAUGUGGAAGAUCAGAUUAAACUGCAACCACAGAGCAUAAUAGGAAUUGUCUAUUGUAAUAGCACUAAAAAGGAAGGAUUUCCUGAAAAUUCACAAUUUUUGAACAAGGGUAAAAUUGUAAUUCCAGAAAGAAUAGGGGCAAAUUUGCAAUUUCAAAAAGUACAGGGAUAAUUCUGCAAUUUUUGAAAGUUGAGGGGCAAUUUUCUAAUUUCAGAAAGUUUUGGGGAAAAUUUGUAAUUUCUGAAAAUUUUGGAUGACUGGGUGAUGACGUGGCACUAGGUGACACGUGGCAGGGGUGUGGAGGCUGACUUGUCGAUGAUUGGACAGGUCAGUGGUGAUGUGUCGGGUUGACACGUGGCGGUAAGUUAUUGGUUGGAAGUGACACGUGGGCAGGUGAUGUGGCUGCUGACUGGUCGUCUUCAACCUCUAGACUUCCGGUGGUGGUUAGUGGCGGCGGGUGGUGGUCCGACGAGAACUCCGGCGAGUCGUUUGCCGGCUCGUGGAGGCUCCGUUGGUGACAAAAACCUCCAGUCCAAGGUUUUUCGGCCUUCCGAACGCAAUGGCGGCGUUAGUUUUGCGAAAAAAUGGCCGCAAAGUAGAGUUUCGAAGGUGGCAGCUCUUUUUCUUCAAGAACAGCCUUAGAAAAAUCAAACUUUCCGUUGAUUCUUUCACUCAAACUCAACUCCGGAUUUGGAACCUUGCUCUGAUGCCAAUAUGGCUCAGAAACCAAGAGAGAAUCCACUCUCUAACUCUCAAAUGAGAAACUCAAGUUUUAUAUAUUUCAAAAUUGUGAUGAUACAUGAAGGAAAUGGCCUUAUUUAUAGUAAUCCUAGAGGCCUUAGAUGCAACUGUAGAAUGUUGAAAAUUAAUGUGAAUGCAAGAAAUAAAAUGUCAACAUAAGUGGCUAGGUGGUUGUGUUUCAACCAUGGUGGCUUCAAUGAGGUAAGGGAUGAUGUAAGUGACCUUGAGCUUAUGAAUACUAGGGGUGGUGCAAUUAAUAGAUUCUAUGAAUUUCUUGAUCUGCA
rnacentral:lncRNA from 1 species